rnacentral:rRNA from 1 species
AGAGAGCUUGCUUUCUCGAGCGAGUGGCGAACGGGUGAGUAACGCGUGAGGAACCUGCCUCAAAGAGGGGGACAACAGUUGGAAACGACUGCUAAGUACCGCAUAAGCCCACCACCCGGCAUCGGGUAGAGGGAAAAGGAGCAAUCCGCUUUGAGAUGGCCUCGCGUCCGAUUAGCUAGUUGGUGAGGUAAUGGCCCACCAAGGCGACGAUCGGUAGCCGGACUGAGAGGUUGAACGGCCACAUUGGGACUGAGACACGGCCCAGACUCCUACGGGAGGCAGCAGUGGGGAAUAUUGCACAAUGGGGGAAACCCUGAUGCAGCGACGCCGCGUGGAGGAAGAAGGUCUUCGGAUUGUAAACUCCUGUUGUUGAGGAAGAUAAUGACGGUACUCAACAAGGAAGUGACGGCUAACUACGUGCCAGCAGCCGCGGUAAUACGUAGGUCACAAGCGUUGUCCGGAAUUACUGGGUGUAAAGGGAGCGCAGGCGGGAAGACAAGUUGGAAGUGAAAUCCAUGGGCUCAACCCAUGAACUGCUUUCGAAACUGUUUUUCUUGAGUAGUGCAGAGGUAGGCGGAAUUCCCGGUGUAGCGGUGGAAUGCGUAGAUAUCGGGAGGAACACCAGUGGCGAAGGCGGCCUACUGGGCACCAACUGA